ACCAGGUUAAAGGGAGUAGUUAUAUUUUUUACAGGCAAAUCCGUAAGAAAUGACGAACCUGAUAGUACAGCAAAGCUUCGGCAGAGCUGAUAGCGAUCCUAAUCAAACCUCCGAGAAAAACUUCUAAGUUAUGUUUAAAGCAGCCCGUACCGCAAACCGACACAGGUGGGUGGGAUGAAUAUUCUAAGGCGCUCGGGUGAGCCGUGGAGAAGGAACUAGGCAAAUUGACGCUGUAACUUCGGGAUAAAGCGUACCCUCUACGUAAGUAGAAGGUCUCAGUAAAAUGGUGCAACCAACUGUUUAGCAAAAACACAGGGCCCUGCAAAAUCGAAAGAUGACGUAUAGAGCCUGAUACCUGCCCGGUGCUGGAAGGUUAAGGAAGGGUGUUCGUCGCAAGACAAAGCUCCUGACUGAAGCCCCAGUAAACGGCGGCCGUAACAAUAACGGUCCUAAGGUAGCGAAAUUCCUUGUCGGGUAAGUUCCGACCUGCACGAAUGGUCUAAUGAGUUGCACACUGUCUCCUCCACGAGCCCGGUGAAAUUGUAGUAUCGGUGAAGAUGCCGGUUACCCGUCACGGGACGGAAAGACCCCAUGAACCUUCACUACAACUUUGCAUUGAUUUUGAAUUUUUGAUGUGUAGGAUAGUUGGGAGACUUUGAAGCGGUGUCGCUAGGCAUCGUGGAGUCAACGUUGAAAUACCAACCUUUAAACAUUUAGAAUCUAACCCGCCAACGGCGGGCACAGUGCAUGGUGGGUAGUUUGACUGGGGUGGUCGCCUCCUAAAAUGUAACGGAGGCUUGCAAAGGUUCCCUCAGUACGGUUGGUAAUCGUACAUAGAGCGUAUUAGUAUAAGGGAGCUUGACUGUGAGACUUACAAGUCGAGCAGGGACGAAAGUCGGCUAAAGUGAUCCGGUGGUUCUGUAUGGAAGGGCCAUCGCUCAAAGGAUAAAAGGUACUCUGGGGAUAACAGGCUGAUCUCCCCCAAGAGCUCAUAUCGACGGGGAGGUUUGGCACCUCGAUGUCGGUUCGUCACAUCCUGGGGCUGGAGAAGGUCCCAAGGGUUCGGCUGUUCGCCGAUUAAAGUGGCACGUGAACUGGGUUCAGAACGUCGCAAGAUAGUUCGGUCCCUAUCUGUGAUGGGCGUUAGUAAAUUGAGAGGACAUGACCUUAGUACGAGAGGACCGGGUCGUAUGUACCGCUGGUGUAUCUGUUGUGCCGCCAGGUGCAAUGCAGAGUAGCUAUGUACAGGCAGGAUAAACGCUGAAAGCAUCUAAGCGUGAAACCUUCCUCAAGAUGAGUUUACUUUUAAGGGUCGUCGAAGACUACGACGUUGAUAGACUAUAGGUAUAAAGGUGGUAACAUCAAAGCCGAGUAGUACUAAUUACCCGUUAGCUUUACC
rnacentral:rRNA from 1 species